rnacentral:piRNA from 1 species
UACAGUUAGAGAAGCAUUAAC